rnacentral:misc_RNA from 1 species
AAGUCGUAACAAGGUUUCCGUAGGUGAACCUGCGGAAGGAUCAUUCACAAUGAGUGUUUAAUGGCACUUCAAAUCCAUUACCCACCUUGUGUGCAUUGUCGGGGAGAGGACUCUCUCAAUCUCUCUCUCUCUCUCUCUCUCCUCUCUCUCUCUCUCUCUCUCACUCAGAGGGAGGAGGAGGAGAGGAGGAGAGGAGGAGAAAGGGGGAGGAGAGGGAGGAGGGUUCCUCUCUUCUUUCUAUACACACUGUUCUCAGUAUCAGUCUACUUCAAUUGAGUACAAAACUCGAAUACAACUUUCAACAACGGAUCUCUUGGCUCUC